rnacentral:rRNA from 1 species
UACGUAGGUGGCAAGCGUUGUCCGGAAUGACUGGGCGUAAAGGGUGCGUAGGCGGCCAUUCAAGUUAGUAGUGAAAUUCCGGGGCUUAACCUCGGCGCUACUACUAAGACUGUGGCUUGAGUGCAGGAGAGGUAAGCGGAAUUCCUAGUGUAGCGGUGGAAUGCGUAGAUAUUAGGAAGAACACCGGUGGCGAAAGCGGCUUGCUGGCCUGUAACUGACGCUGAGGCACGAAAGCGUGGGGAGCAAACAG